AUUGAACGCUGGCGGCAUGCCUUACACAUGCAAGUCGAACGGUAACGCGGGGCAACCUGGCGACGAGUGGCGAACGGGUGAGUAAUACAUCGGAACGUGCCCAGUAGUGGGGGAUAGCCCGGCGAAAGCCGGAUUAAUACCGCAUACGACCUACGGGUGAAAGCAGGGGAUCGCAAGACCUUGCGCUAUUGGAGCGGCCGAUGUCAGAUUAGGUAGUUGGUGGGGUAAAAGCCUACCAAGCCUACGAUCUGUAGCUGGUCUGAGAGGACGACCAGCCACACUGGGACUGAGACACGGCCCAGACUCCUACGGGAGGCAGCAGUGGGGAAUUUGGACAAUGGGCGCAAGCCUGAUCCAGCCAUGCCGCGUGCGGGAAGAAGGCCUGGUGU
rnacentral:rRNA from 1 species